CCCGCACAAGCAGCGGAGCGUGUGGUUUAAUUCGAUGUUACACGAAGAACCUUACCAGGGUUUGACAUGCAAGUGGUAGGAAGCCGAAAGGUGACCGACCUUCGGGAGCUUGCACAGGUGCUGCAUGGCUGUCGUCAGCUCGUGUCGUGAGAUGUUCGGUUAAGUCCGCUAACGAGCGCAACCCUCGCUGUGUGUUAUAUGUGUCACACGGGACUGCCGGUCUUAAGCCGGAGGAAGGUGGGGAUGAUGUCAAGUCAGCAUGGCCUUUAUAUCCUGGGCUACACACACGCUACAAUGACCAACACAAUAGGUUGCUAAGCCGCGAGGUGGCGCCAAUCCAUAAAGUUGGUCUCAGUUCAGAUUGUAGGCUGCAACCCGCCUGCAUGAAGAUGGAGUUGCUAGUAACCGCAGGUCAGCUAUACUGCGGUGAAUACGUUCCCGGGGCUU
rnacentral:rRNA from 1 species